rnacentral:lncRNA from 1 species
CAUCCGUCUUUUCCCUCCUGACAUUUUAGCAGUCCUGGGUAAAUAUUGAUUUGGCCCCAGCUUACCUUCUCUCUGACUGGCCAUUUGCAGACUGAGAAACCGAGCUCUGGGAAGACUUGAUUUUUGUGUUCCUUUGGAGCCCUUUUCAUCCAUCCCCCCCUGACUCCUUCCUCCCUCUAAGUGGCAUUGUAAAACUCAGCAGUGACAAAGAGACAAAGUAGGGUUCCAGGCUCCAGUUCUUGGAGACUCGAGGGCUUGAGGGCAGUUUACACACAGGUCAGACACGGCUGGAGGCCAAGGUCAAGUUGAAAGUUGCUGUCUAGUCAGUGUGAGAAAGCGCAAUGAAAGCCUGGAGACGGGCGGGAGCAGGCAGCAGAGGAGGCCGAUUGCCCACCUCCCCUCA